rnacentral:rRNA from 1 species
AAAUGAAUAGACGGGGACCCGCACAAGCGGUGGAGCAUGUGGUUUAAUUCGAAGCAACGCGAAGAACCUUACCAGGUCUUGACAUCCCACUGCCCGGUGUAGAGAUACGCCUUUCCCUUCGGGGACAGUGGUGACAGGUGGUGCAUGGUUGUCGUCAGCUCGUGUCGUGAGAUGUUGGGUUAAGUCCCGCAACGAGCGCAACCCUUGAUCUUAGUUGCCAGCAUUCAGUUGGGCACUCUAAGGUGACUGCCGGUGACAAACCGGAGGAAGGUGGGGAUGACGUCAAAUCAUCAUGCCCCUUAUGACCUGGGCUACACACGUGCUACAAUGGAUGAUACAGAGGGUUGCCAACCCGCGAGGGGGAGCCAAUCCCAUAAAAUCAUUCCCAGUUCGGAUUGGAGGCUGCAACUCGCCUCCAUGAAGCCGGAAUCGCUAGUAAUCGUGGAUCAGCAUGCCACGGUGAAUACGUUCCCGGGUCUUGUACACACCGCCCGU